AUCCUUCGGCAUCCAGGCUUCAGUUUCUGCUGUCUCCACCCCCGCAUUCCUCUUCCCAGUACACAAAUUUGGACCAAAUUGGAUAAAGCUCGUAGGUUCUGAAAUUUACAGUUCGUGCCAUAAAUCCUGUGCGUCUCAACGGAAUCCUUACUUUAAGUUAAUGCUGACAAAGUACGAAAUGGCAGAGACCUCAUAAAUCACAGCUCAUGUCAUAUCAAAAUUUCCAAACAGCUCGGAGUUUUGCCAGACCGGAACAUACGCCCGCUUUCUCACCAGCAAGGAGCAGCCUAUGGAAGUCUGGGGCGACCAAGCUCAGAGCUCCGACAGUGGGAAAUAUUGCAGACUCCAAAGGCAUCUGUUGAGUGUAGAGCGAGUGCCUGCAAAGCUGUGAUCAGGUUGGAAUCAUGUUAUUUCUGGACCCCUGGGUGCCAGCAUGAAGUCACUGCCGUGAGAAACAAAUUGCUCUGAGCUCUUUGCAGCCUUUUGCUUGAGUAAUUAAUUCAGUACUUCUCAUGUGCACUCUGUGAAACCAUCAUCACUGCCUCGUUGGAGAAAACCUGCCACACGGAGAGUUCCCGGGCAGUUUUCUGGACUCGCCCAGGUAGGAAGUCCUGGUGUCACAGCAAAGGCUCCAGUUUAUGGACCUGUCUCUGGCCACACGAAGAACUUCCUCAGAGGUUGAAAGAAGCACUGACCUGUGGGUGCAUUUCUCUCAUUCCUGCACUGCUCCUGGCUCCCUUUUCUCUCCUCAGAGUUUCUAUGGUAACACCAUUAUUUCCUAGAAGAUUGGCAUCUUCACAUCCUAAUUAUAAUAAACUAGUACUGGCUUGAACAAGGGGCAAACAGAGGAGUUAGUUGUUGUGGUGGUAUUGUGUUCCCCA